rnacentral:tmRNA from 1 species
GGGGGCGUAAAGGUUUCGACGGGGAUUUUGAUAUACAGUAAGCGGGUAGAGCCGGGCAAUCUCUGAAACGGCCCAACUUAAAAUUAAACGCUAACGAAAAAGUAGCACUGGCCGCGUAAGCGGUGCCGCAGUCUAUAAGACUGCCCGUUCCUCCGGAGAGUAUCGCGGCUCCGGACUGAGCGUCAUGUAGCGGUGAACGUGCAUCUGCCUUUCGCCAUUGAACAGAUCACGCAUAAAAUGGCUACCCAAAGUCAAAGCCUGUGUGCCGGCGUUGACCGAGGGGAAAUUUAAAUGACACAAUGCACCCGGAGAAAGCUGUAUUGAAGGAUUUUCGGACAGGGGUUCGACUCCCCUCGCCUCCACCA